rnacentral:rRNA from 1 species
AUUGAACGCUGGCGGCGUGCCUUACACAUGCAAGUCGAACGGCAGCACGGGAGCAAUCCUGGUGGCGAGUGGCGAACGGGUGAGUAAUAUAUCGGAACGUGCCCAGUCGUGGGGAUAACGUAGCGAAAGCUACGCUAAUACCGCAUACGAUCUAUGGAUGAAAGCGGGGGAUCGCAAGACCUCGCGCGAUUGGAGCGGCCGAUAUCAGAUUAGGUAGUUGGUGAGGUAAAGGCUCACCAAGCCGACGAUCUGUAGCUGGUCUGAGAGGACGACCAGCCACACUGGGACUGAGACACGGCCCAGACUCCUACGGGAGGCAGCAGUGAGGAAUAUUGGACAAUGGGCGCAAGCCUGAUCCAGCCAUGCCGCGUGCAGGAUGACGGUCCUAUGGAUUGUAAACUGCUUUUGUACAGGAAGAAACACUACUUCGUGAAGUAGCUUGACGGUACUGUAA